AACGCUAGCUACAGGCUUAACACAUGCAAGUCGAGGGGCAGCAUGAAGUCAGCUUGCUGGCUUUGAUGGCGACCGGCGCACGGGUGAGUAACGCGUAUCCAACCUUCCCGUUACUCCGGGAUAGGCUUCUGAAAAGAAGAUUAAUACCGGAUGGUUUACUUCCUCCGCAUGGAGGGCUUAAUAAAGAUUCAUCGGUAACGGAUGGGGAUGCGUUCCAUUAGGCAGUAGGCGGGGUAACGGCCCACCUAACCGACGAUGGAUAGGGGUUCUGAGAGGAAGGUCCCCCACAUUGGAAUUGAGACACGGUCCAAACUCCUACGGGAGGCAGCAGUGAGGAAUAUUGGUCAAUGGGCGAGAGCCUGAACCAGCCAAGUAGCGUGAAGGAGGACGGCCCUAUGGGUCUUAAACUUCUUUUAUAAGGGAAUAAAGGACUCCACGUGUGGGGUUUUGCAUGUACCUUAUGAAUAAGCAUCGGCUAAUUCCGUGCCAGCAGCCGCGGUAAUACGGAAGAUGCGAGCGUUAUCCGGAUUUAUUGGGUUUAAAGGGAGCGUAGGCGGGGUGUUAAGUCAGCGGUAAAAUCGUGCGGCUCAACCGUACCGUGCCGUUGAAACUGGCAUCCUUGAGUUCGGACAAGGCAGAUGGAAUUCGUGGUGUAGCGGUGAAAUGCUUAGAUAUCACGAAGAACUCCGAUUG
rnacentral:rRNA from 1 species